UACGUAGGGUGCAAGCGUUAUCCGGAAUUAUUGGGCGUAAAGAGCUCGUAGGCGGUUUGUCGCGUCUGCUGUGAAAACUGGGGGCUCAACCCCCAGCCUGCAGUGGGUACGGGCAGACUAGAGUGCGGUAGGGGAGAUUGGAAUUCCUGGUGUAGCGGUGGAAUGCGCAGAUAUCAGGAGGACACCGAUGGCGAAGGCAGAUCUCUGGGCCGUAACUGACGCUGAGGAGCGAAAGCAUGGGGAGCGAACAGG
rnacentral:rRNA from 1 species